UUCCGGUUGAUCCUGCCGGACCUGACUGCUAUCGGAUUGAUACUAAGCCAUGCGAGUCAUGUGUAGCAAUACAAGGCAUACGGCUCAGUAACGCGUAGUCAACCUAACCUAUGGACGGGAAUAACCUCGGGAAACUGAGAAUAAUGCCCGAUAGAACAUUAUGCCUGGAAUGGUUUAUGUUCCAAAUGAUUUAUCGGCCGUAGAUGGGACUGCGGCCUAUCAGUUUGUUGGUGAGGUAAUGGCCCACCAAGACUAUUACAGGUACGGGCUCUGAGAGGAGUAGCCCGGAGAUGGGUACUGAGACACGGACCCAGGGCCUAUGGGGCGCAGCAGGCGAGAAAACUUUGCAAUGUGCGAAAGCACGACAAGGUUAAUCCGAGUGAUUUGUGCUAAACGAAUCUUUUGUUAGUCCUAGAAACACUAACGAAUAAGGGGUGGGCAAGUCUGGUGUCAGCCGCCGCGGUAAAACCAGCACCUCAAGUGGUCAGGAUGAUUAUUGGGCCUAAAGCAUCCGUAGCCGGCUCUGUAAGUUUUCGGUUAAAUCUGUACGCUUAACGUACAGGCUGCCGGGAAUACUGCAGAGCUCGGGAGUGGGAGAAGUAGACGGUACUCGGUAGGAAGUGGUAAAAUGCUUUGAUCUAUCGAUGACCACCUGUGGCGAAGGCGGUCUACUAGAACACGUCCGACGGUGAGGGAUGAAAGCUGGGGGAGCAAACCGGAUUAGAUACCCGGGUAGUCCCAGCUGUAAACUAUGCAAACUCAGUGAUGCAUUGGCUUGUGGCCAAUGCAGUGCUGCAGGGAAGCCGUUAAGUUUGCCGCCUGGGAAGUACGUACGCAAGUAUGAAACUUAAAGGAAUUGGCGGGGGAGCACCACAAGGGGUGAAGCUGCGGUUCAAUUGGA
rnacentral:rRNA from 1 species